rnacentral:rRNA from 1 species
AGAGUUUGAUCAUGGCUCAGGAUAAACGCUGGCGGCGUGCCUUAUGCAUGCAAGUCGAACGAGGCCAAGGCUUCGGCCUGAAGUCUAGUGGCGGACGGGUGAGUAACACGUACGUGACCUGUCCGGAAGUGGGGAAUAACCAGCCGAAAGGUUGGCUAAUACCGCAUGUGGUUACUGCUUGGAAGCAGCAAACCAAAGUCGCAAGACGCUUCCGGAGGGGCGUGCGGCCGAUUAGCUAGUUGGUGUGGUAACGGCGCACCAAGGCAUUGAUCGGUAGCUGGUCUGAGAGGACGGUCAGCCACACUGGGACUGAGACACGGCCCAGACUCCUACGGGAGGCAGCAGCAGGGAAUUUUGCGCAAUGGGCGAAAGCCUGACGCAGCAACGCCGCGUGAGGGAUGAAGGCUCUUGGGUCGUAAACCUCUUUUGCCGGGGAAGAUAAUGACGGUACCCGGCGAAUAAGCCACGGCUAACUACGUGCCAGCAGCCGCGGUAAUACGUAGGUGGCAAGCGUUGUCCGGAUUUAUUGGGCGUACAGGGCGCGCAGGCGGUUCGUUAGGUUCGAGGUGAAAUCUCCUGGCUCAACUGGGAGAGGUCUUCGGAUACCGGCGGACUUGAGGAGAGCAGAGGUGAGUGGAAUUCUGGGUGUAGUGGUGAAAUGCGUAGAUAUCCAGAGGAACACCAGUGGCGAAGGCGACUCACUGGGCUCCACCUGACGCUGAGGCGCGAAAGCGUGGGGAGCGAACCGGAUUAGAUACCCGGGUAGUCCACGCCGUAAACGAUGGGCACUAGGUGUGAGGGGUAUUGACCCCCUUCGUGCCGUAGCUAACGCAUUAAGUGCCCCGCCUAGGGAGUACGGCCGCAAGGCUAAAACUCAAAUGAAUUGACGG